GACGAACGCUGGCGGCGUGCUUAACACAUGCAAGUCGAACGCGCCUGUCCUCUGGGUUUCUGGGGGGUGGGUGAGUGGCGAACGGGUGAGUAACACGUGAGUAACCUGCCCCCUUCUUCGGGAUAACGGUCUGAAAGGGCUGCUAAUACCGGGUAUUCACUGGUCUCCGCAUGGGGUCUGGUGGAAAGGUUUUUUUCUGGUGGGGGAUGGGCUCGCGGCCUAUCAGCUUGUUGGUGGGGUGAUGGCCCACCAAGGCUUUGACGGGUAGCCGGCCUGAGAGGGUGACCGGUCACAUUGGGACUGAGAUACGGCCCAGACUCCUACGGGAGGCAGCAGUGGGGAAUAUUGCACAAUGGGCGCAAGCCGGAUGCAGCGACGCCGCGUGAGGGAUGGAGGCCUUCGGGUUGUGAACCUCUUUCGCCCGUGGUCAAGCCGCGACGUGGGUCGUGGUGAGGGUAGUGGGUAAAGAAACGCCGGCUAACUACGU
rnacentral:rRNA from 1 species